CCGGAACUGUCAAGCUAGAGUGCAGGAGAGGAAGGUAGAAUUCCCGGUGUAGCGGUGAAAUGCGUAGAGAUCGGGAGGAAUACCAGUGGCGAAGGCGGCCUUCUGGACUGACACUGACACUGAGGUGCGAAAGCGUGGGUAGCAAACAGGAUUAGAUACCCUGGUAGUCCACGCCGUAAACGAUGUCGACCAGCCGUUGGGUGCCUAGCGCACUUUGUGGCGAAGUUAACGCGAUAAGUCGACCGCCUGGGGAGUACGGCCGCAAGGUUAAAACUCAAAUGAAUUGACGGGGGCCCGCACAAGCGGUGGAGCAUGUGGUUUAAUUCGAUGCAACGCGAAGAACCUUACCUACUCUUGACAUCCUGCGAACUUGUGAGAGAUCACUUGGUGCCUUCGGGAACGCAGAGACAGGUGCUGCAUGGCUGUCGUCAGCUCGUGUUGUGAAAUGUUGGGUUAAGUCCCGUAACGAGCGCAACCCUUGUCCUUAUUUGCCAGCGAGUAAUGUCGGGAACUCUAAGGAGACUGCCGGUGACAAACCGGAGGAAGGUGGGGACGACGUCAAGUCAUCAUGGCCCUUACGAGUAGGGCUACACACGUGCUACAAUGGCCGGUACAAAGGGUUGCGAGCUCGCGAGAGUCAGCUAAUCCCGAAAAGCCGGUCUCAGUUACUAGCGGUGUGUGCA
rnacentral:rRNA from 1 species